AAGUAUGGAUAGAAGUUACACAGACUUUGGAUGGUUGGGAUUGUGGCUGAUAUUUGUUUUCUUUAAACUUUUUAUAAUUUGCAAAUGUCCUAGAAUAAGUAUAUAUAAUUUAUAGUUCUAAGUGUAUAAUAAACAUUAUUUUUAAAGUAGUUGGCUUCUUACUUACUAUAACUCAUUGAAGUGAAUCUGGUUUUGUAUAAUAGAAUAAAUGUUUAGAGGAGGGUGCUUGUGUUUAACCUGUAGUGGUGUGGAAUGUAGUUUCAAUUAGGAAAACUUUCAGCUGGAAAUAACAGAAAAGCAGAUAUAAACAGUGACAUAAACAGGAUGGGAGUUUAUUUUUUCUCAUAUAACCAUAAGUCUAGAGGCAUAGAGUAGCUGGUGUUGGCUCAGUCAUUCAGCAAUGUCAGGGGUAGUGUCUCUUGAAUUCUUUGGACAUUCUCCAUUAUUGCAAAAUAGAUGCCCAAAUUACUGGCAGUGUACCACAUUCAAGGCUAGAGGGGUACUGGGAAGGAAGCCAGGGAAGGCCACGCCAUCUGCCUCUUUUUAUCAGGAAUGCAGUAUCUUUUCCCAAGGCAAUUUUUAGAUUUCACUUGGCACAACUGUGUUAUAUGACUAUCCUUAGGAAGCCAGGAAAGUGUUUAGUAUUUUAUAGCCCAAGUAUUAGGGACAGAAAAGGGAGAAGGGGUUGAAAAUGGGUGUUAUCUAAUGGUAUCUACAAGUAAACAAACAAACAAACAAAAAAACAGAAAACCUUCAGUUAGAUUGCUAGAUUCACUAAUAUUUUGAAAAAUUUUAAAUAAAUUAGUCAUUGACUGAGAGUUUUUUGUUUCUUUUAGCUGUCAAUACUUCCCUCUGAGUUUUGCUAGGCUACCUUGAAUUGUGAUGUAUUUAUAUUAAUAGUUCAUUUUAAGUGAUCAGUAGAUGUGGUAGGUAGGAUAAUAGUGACCCAAAGAUGUCCAUGUCCCAAUUCCUAGGACCUGUGAAUAUGUACAUUACAUGGCAAAAGGGAAUUACGAUUGCUAAACAGCAGAUAGGGAGAUUAUUCUGGAUCAUUCAGGUGGGCACUUUAAGGACUACACUUCUUGAAAAUGAAAGUGGGAUGCAAAAGAGAUGUCAGUAAGAGAUGUGAUGAUGGAAACAAGGUCAGAGAUGCAGUGUUGCUGUAUUUGGAGAUGGGGGAAGAGGGCCAUGAAUCAAGGAAUGCGACAACCUCUAGAAACUAGAAAAAGCAAGGAUUCACCCUUCUAACCUCCGGAAAGGACUGUAGCCCUACUGAUAUCUUAAUUUUAGCCCAGUGAGACCAGUUUUGGACUUCUAACUUACAUAACUGUAAGAUAAAGAAAUGAAUGUUGUAUUUUCCUCUAAGUUUGUGGUACUUUGUUACAGCAGCAAUAGAAGACUAAUGCAGAUUUUGGUACUGGUACUGGAAGUGGGGUGCUGCUGUAACAAAUACCUGAAAAUGUGGAAGUAGUUUUGGAACUAUGCAGUGAGCACAUCUGGAAGAAUUUUGAGGUGCAUGAUAGAAAAAGCCUAGAUUGCCAUGACAAUAGAAAUAUGGAUGUAUAUUAAUGACUCUAUUAGACUUAGAAAAAAGUGAGGAGCAGGAUAGAGAAAACAUUUAUCAUCUUAGAGAAUAUCUAAAUAAUUGUGAACAGAUGGUGAAAAUGCAUUAAAGGUGCUGGCUCAGAGGAAAAUGUUGGGAAUUGAAGGAAAAGGGAUCCCUAUUAUAGUGGCAGAAAGCUCGGUAGGCUUGUGUACUGCAAUUAUGUGGAAAGUAGGACUUACAAACAGUGAACUUGGAUGUGUAACUGAAGAGAUUUCCAAGCAAAGUGUUGAAGGUAUGGCCUAAUUUCUUUUUGCCACUAAUAGCUAAAUUUGAAAGUAGAGAAAUAAAUCAAGAGGAGACCUGUUAAACAAAAAGGAACUAGGACUUGAUGAUUUUGGAAAUUCUUAGUCUACCCAAGUGGCAAGGGGUGCUAAAGUCAGGAGUUUCACUGUCAGGAAAAUGUGCUCUAGAGAAAAAGCCAAAGGAGUCACUGCACAGCCAUUUGCUGAAACCUCAGAAAGAUCAAAAGGUCAGAGCAUUCACUCACACAAAACGCUGAAGAGAUCAAGGGGUGUGACUUGUAAAUUCCCUUAGCAUCUAAGUAGAAGCCAGAAAUAGAGAUGGGAUGAUCUAGGCAAGAUCUGUGGAGGAGCCUCUUGUCUAAUGGAGUGAGUCUCUACUUAUACAGUAGACCCACAAGGUUUUUGAGAAUUCUAUGUCAGCAGCAACUCAAAGGGAGAGAGAGAGAAUGAAGUGAAAGACUCAAAAGAGGAGGCAAGGGAAAAGCGCGCGAGCAAGAUGGCUACCACCAAGCGCGUCCUGUACGUGGGUGGACUGGCAGAGGAGGUGGACGACAAAGUUCUUCAUGCUGCGUUCAUUCCUUUUGGAGACAUCACAGAUAUUCAGAUUCCUCUGGAUUAUGAAACAGAAAAGCACCGAGGAUUUGCUUUUGUUGAAUUUGAGUUGGCAGAGGAUGCUGCAGCAGCUAUCGACAACAUGAAUGAAUCUGAGCUUUUUGGACGUACAAUUCGUGUCAAUUUGGCCAAACCGAUAAGAAUUAGGGAAGGCUCUUCCAGGCCAGUUUGGUCAGAUGAAGACUGGUUGAAGAAGUUUUCUGGGAAGAUACUUGAAGAGAAUAAAGAGGAAGAAGGGUCAGAGCCUCCCAAAGCAGAGACCCAGGAGGGAGAACCCGCUGCUAAAAAGGCUCGGUCAAAUCCUCAGGUGUACAUGGACAUCAAGAUUGGGAACAAGCCGGCCGGCCGCAUCCAGAUGCUCCUGCGUUCCAACGUCAUGCCCAUGACAGCAGAGAAUUUCUGCUGCCUGUGCACCCAUGAAAAGGGCUUUGGCUUUAAGGGAAGCAGCUUCCACCGCAUCAUCCCCCAGUUCAUGUGCCAGGGCGGUGAUUUCACAAACCACAACGGUACUGGGGGCAAGUCCAUCUAUGGGAAGAAGUUCGAUGAUGAAAACUUUAUCCUCAAGCACACGGGACCAGGUCUACUCUCCAUGGCCAACUCUGGCCCAAACACCAAUGGCUCCCAGUUCUUCCUGACAUGUGACAAGACAGACUGGCUGGAUGGCAAGCACGUGGUGUUUGGAGAGGUCACUGAAGGCCUAGAUGUCUUGCGGCAAAUUGAGGCCCAGGGCAGCAAGGACGGGAAGCCAAAGCAGAAGGUGAUCAUCGCCGACUGUGGGGAGUACGUGUGAGGCGGCACUCUCUGCUUCCCCCUCCGCUCUUGCCCCUGCACAUCCAGGAAGGGGCUGCCAGCCUCAGAGGAGGCAGCACUGAGGGUGCCUGUUUGAAGCAAGCAGCAUUUGGUGUAUGAGCCCUUCCUCAGGGUCCGCUUGGAGCAGCUCCUCUGCAGGCACAGCCUGGACUAUUCCCAAGCGCGGCUGUGGGCCCAGGAGCCAGUGCAGGUGCUCCCCUCCACCAUGGGCAGGCUGUGCAAAAAGCCACUGGCUUUUCUCAGCAUUUGCUGCUGGGCCUGUCCUGGGACUACCAGUGUGGCUCUUAGGUGUUUUCUUUGCUAAAAUAAACCCUUGUUCUUAAAAAAAAAAAAAAAAAAA